UACGUAGGGUGCAAGCGUUAAUCGGAAUUACUGGGCGUAAAGCGUGCGCAGGCGGUUGUUCAAGACAGAUGUGAAAUCCCCGGGCUUAACCUGGGAACUGCAUUUGUGACUGCACAGCUGGAGUGCGGCAGAGGGGGAUGGAAUUCCGCGUGUAGCAGUGAAAUGCGUAGAUAUGCGGAGGAACACCGAUGGCGAAGGCAAUCCCCUGGGCCUGCACUGACGCUCAUGCACGAAAGCGUGGGGAGCAAACAGG
rnacentral:rRNA from 1 species